UACGUAGGGUGCGAGCGUUAAUCGGAUUUACUGGGCGUAAAGCGUGCGCAGGCGGCCCGUUAAGACAGGUGUGAAAUCCCUGGGCUCAACCUAGGAGUUGCGCUUGUGACUGGCGGGCUCGAGUACGGUAGAGGGGGGUGGAAUUCCUGGUGUAGCAGUGAAAUGCGUAGAGAUCAGGAGGAACACCGAUGGCGAAGGCAGCCCCCUGGGCCUGUACUGACGCUCAUGCACGAAAGCGUGGGGAGCAAACAGG
rnacentral:rRNA from 1 species